GUAGUCCACGCCGUAAACGAUGAGUGCUAAGUGUUAGAGGGUUUCCGCCCUUUAGUGCUGCAGCAAACGCAUUAAGCACUCCGCCUGGGGAGUACGGUCGCAAGACUGAAACUCAAAGGAAUUGACGGGGGCCCGCACAAGCGGUGGAGCAUGUNGUUUAAUUCGAAGCAACGCGAAGAACCUUACCAGGUCUUGACAUCCUCUGACAACCCUAGAGAUAGGGCUUCCCCUUCGGGGGCAGAGUGACAGGUGGUGCAUGGUUGUNGUCAGCUCGUGUCGUGAGAUGUUGGGUUAAGUCCCGCAACGAGCGCAACCCUUGAUCUUAGUUGCCAGCAUUCAGUUGGGCACUCUAAGGUGACUGCCGGUGACAAACCGGAGGAAGGUGGGGAUGACGUCAAAUCAUCAUGCCCCUUAUGACCUGGGCUACACACGUGCUACAAUGGGCAGAACAAAGGGCAGCGAAGCCGCGAGGCUAAGCCAAUCCCACAAAUCUGUUCUCAGUUCGGAUCGCAGUCUGCAACUCGACUGCGUGAAGCUGGAAUCGCUAGUAAUCGCGGAUCAGCAUGCCGCGGUGAAUACGUUCCCGGGCCUUGUACACACCGCCCGUCACACCACGAGAGUUUGUAACACCCGAAGUCGGU
rnacentral:rRNA from 1 species